GAUGAAGAACGCAGCGAAAUGCGAUAAGUAAUGUGAAUUGCAGAAUUCAGUGAAUCAUCGAAUCUUUGAACGCACAUUGCGCCCGUCAGUAUUCUGGCGGGCAUGCCUGUUCGAGCGUCAUUACGCCCCUCAAGUCCCCUGUGGACUUGGUGUUGGGGAUCGGCGAGGCUGGUUUUCCAGCACAGCCGUCCCUUAAAUUAAUUGGCGGUCUCGCCGUGGCCCUCCUCUGCGCAGUAGUAAAACACUCGCAACAGGAGCCCGGCGCGGUCCACUGCCGUAAAACCCCCCAACUUUUUAUAGUUGACCUCGAAUCAGGUAGGACUACCCGUUGAACUUAAGCAUAUCAAUAAGCGGAGGA
rnacentral:misc_RNA from 1 species